rnacentral:misc_RNA from 1 species
GAAAUGCGAUACGUAGUGUGAAUUGCAGAAUUCCGUGAAUCAUCAAAUCUUUGAACGCAACUUGCACUCUGUUUCGGCAGAGUAUGCCUGUUUGAGAAUCUAUAUAACUCUUCCGACGUUUUGUUGGAGAUUUGGGCGCUGUUUGCCCCUCUGGGGAAAACUCGCUUUAAACGUAUAGCUUCGGGUGCUGGGAAUGUUGAUUCUUAAACCAGAGAGAUGAAGGGUUCGCCCACUUCCUUUGGCGCGAGAAGAGUUUCCAGCGCUUUGGACCCAACCAUUAAGCCUUCUUUUUUCUUUCGGGAAGGAGAUUGCUGAAACCUAGGUCUCAAAUCAGGUAGGAAGACCCGCUGAACUUAA